ensembl:processed_transcript
ACACCCAAACCCGAUCAACCGGAAGUUCAAGGUAUAUGUGACGCAGAAGUAAGAAUCUCAGACUGGUUUGGAACCAUUUAAAGAUGCUCGAGAAAGGCCUCUUUCUUGUGGUCCAUGUUGUAAGACUGCAGGACGAUCACGUCUCCGGCAGUGCGAGGUCCUCCUACUGUGUGUCUCCGAGGGACGGUGCGAGGGGACCAGGACUCUGGCUGCUCGCUCUCAUCCGCACUGCUUUGUUUUCUGCUCUGGCUCUCCACAUCCUCAUGGGAGCACGGCCUCUGGUUGCUUUUCACUGGCGCUUUGAUUAAAGACAUAAGAAAAUAUACAAAGGAAUACAGAUUAGAUAGGGACACUCGGUGGGCGGCUGCACUUGGCUCAAGACCUGCAAUUAAUUAGUGUGAUAAGCAACACAGUCAAGGCAAUGACCGGCUUAGAGUCAGACAGCUGCUGGCCAAGAGAGCAAUUACUGAGCAAAGCUACAAACAGGCCAUUUGUUUCCCAUAAACAGCUUGCACCUUGCCAAAAGAGGUCUCCGAGCAC